rnacentral:tRNA from 3 species
GGGUGCGUAGCUCAGUGGGAGAGCGCUUCCUUGACGCGGAAGAGGUCGCAGGUUCAAUCCCUGCCGCACCCACCA